GGCCAUAAUUGAAAUCAAAGUGGCCACAAUCGCAAUGCAAUUGGCCAAUUGAUUUCAAUUUAGCCAAAUCCCCAAUACCCAAUUAAAAACCCCAUCAGCAGUCCACCAUAAUCUCAGCCCAUUUGUCCCUUAAAAUUGUACCAGCCCAAACCAAAACCUGACCCGGCCCAUCUUUAUCAGUUUUCAACAAAAAAAAAUCAACAAAAACAAAAACAUACACAACUGUUAUAACAGUAAACAAACAACACCAAUAUCAACCUCAACAAACAACGACGGUCUCAACAACAAAAUCCAACCUUAUACCCAAUUUCCACCACCAAUGACCCACUUUGAACAACAACCAUCCAGUGAGCCCAGCUUCAAACCCGAUCCCCAACUCGUUUCUUUUUCAUCUUUGUCAUGCGCCCACGCGGAUACGAAGAAGACUCCAAGAAUUCUCUAGAAGCACCUAGGUGUCUCUCUAACAUUCAAAUUCCGCAAAUUCGGGGAAGAAAGGGUACGAAUUCGUACAUACUUGUAUGAAUUUCAUUGGUUUUGGGAGAAUAUUACCCUUUUCCCAAUUUCUAUUGGUCGCCCAUUUUCCAAUUUCUCCAGAAAAUCCCGAUUUGGUACAAGGGAUUAGUGGAAAUUUGUUCCCUUAAUUCGAAUUUGAAAAGAAAUCCAAGACCCCCCCCCCCCCCCCCUCUUUUUUAUUUUUUCAAUUUUGGGCAGGCUUGAAGCCCUAAAAGAAGGACUCCAGCCUUCUCUAUAAAAGGAGAUUCUAGGCGCAAAUAGGGAGGAGAUUUUUUUUCUGAUUGGGAAAAAAGUUGAGGGGGUUUGAAAAUUAAAAAAAAAAAAACAGAAGAAAUUAUUUUAGAGCACAUCAGCUUCUCUAGUAAAAAUUAUUUUUCUUUCCUUCUUCUUUUAAAGAUGAUCGUUUAAUCGAAAGCCUUGAAGGUUCGUCGACUGAUUGUGAUUUCUGCGUUAGCAUCGACAUCAUUUUUCAAUAGUUGUGAAUCCGACGCUAGUUCGUUGUCCCGCUUUGCUGCUCCAUAAGAGUUUAAAGCCUAAAUGUCGAUCCUAUGGUGUGUCGGAUAGAAGGAAUCGGAAGAAGAAGGACGGGUUGAAAUCCAUCUUUGAAGCGGCGAAGGAGACUUGAAAGUCUCAUUAUUUCGUUUAUUUAUCCAUUGUCUUCAUUAUUUAUUUAUUUAUAUUUUAUUUAUUUAGUUACUUAUUUAUUCAUUCAUUUGGGCAUCGAAGCCAAAGUUGUACUUAAUACAGGUGGAGCGAAUUUUGUGCCAAAAAGGCUCGAAAAUUAGAUUAAGACAGGUAAAAUGGGUCGAAAGCUCAAUUAGACUAGGACAGGUCUCGUGGAUUUGGGCCCAAUGGCCUAAAUCCCUACUUUCUCCCCUUCCCCUUUUGCUUUACGCUUGUUUGCCUUAUGUGUUUUGUGAAUCUAGUUAAAUCCUUAGUCAAGUCGCUAAAAACUGGUUUUGCAUAAACACCAAAAUAUUUCUAAAAUCACUUUUCUUUUCAAAAAUCAACUUUUCAAGGUUAAUCGAUGACAAUUUUCAAACAGUCCGAAUAACCGCAAGUUAGCAGACGUUUUUGGUACCUAACACCUUCCUAAAACGUUAAUAGGAACCACUUACUUAAAAUCUCUUAAUUUAAACGAUUUUUCUGUUUUGGAUCGUUUGAAGUAACUCUCUAAAGGUUUCUUAAUUCUUUUUCAAAAUUAAGUGGUGACUCUUCAAAAAGUCAAAAUUUCUCCGUAAAACAAAUGGCUCUACUUCAAAUAACUCGUAUGGCCAUAGAUUUCUCAAAAAUUUUUUGAAAAAAAAAAAACUUAACAAAUAGUAUUAAUCAUACAUUAUACACAGUUUGUCAUUAUUGGACAAGUAUUUUUGAUAAAUAAUCCGAAUUGUUAAAUACUAGAAAAAUUAGUAUUUAUGUCAAAUUCUAUGUUUUAGAAACAUUUAAAUUUAAAAUAUAUUUUCUAAAUAUUAUAACGAAAUACAUGAGGUAACUUCACUUAAAUCAUAAUCCAAAAAUAACAUAUCAAAAAUACUUAGAAAUCUAGGAACAAAUCUAGCUAAAUACUAUGACCUUAUUUAACGGGCUGCUUCGAACCAUCUCUACCCGGCCCUACUCAAAACAAAGAUGGCAACUUGGAAGAUGACUAUGUCUUUUUUUUUUUUUUUCCUUUUUUUGAAGAAAUAAUUAGAAUAUCUUGCACAUUAUUUCCUUUAGCAUUGCAAAUCAUACUUAAUUUUUAAGUUGCUUAACACAUUCUUUCCUUUUACUUGGUUGUCAUGUGUUCUUGUAGCUAAAAUAUACGACUUAUUUGAAUAUGUUAAAUAAAUUUUGAUCUGAUUCAAUCUCAAAAAUUAAUUAAACAAAAGGUGAUUUCUUAAGCCAUAUAAGGAGUAUCGAAAUCUCGUAAACAUGUGCAAUCAUGAAUCAAGAGUAUAUUUAGAACUAAAGCUUAUGAUUAAUUAAAUACUUGAAUGUGAGGCAUAAAUUGUCUGUAUUAUUGGUGAUACUCUUAUACAAUCAAAAUGAGUUACUUGAAUUGUCUGUUAGUGGUUAUUGUACACCGAGUGUAUAAACAUUACUCCAAAAUUAUUAUUUUUAACUAUAAGAGGUCGUUUGGUGUGAGGUAUAAAGGGAUAAAUAAUUUUAAAAUAAAAUAAUAAAAAUUAUUUUAUCCCAUAUUCAGUGUGAGGUAUUAGUUAGUACCAUGAUUAUUUAUUUCAUCAUGAUUUACACUAUAAUGAUGGAGAUAAGUUAUAUACAUGGUGCGAUAACUAAUCCCGUAAUAACUAAUUUUAAAAUUAAUUAUUUUGAAAUCACUCUUUCCCAACCAAUAAAUAUAAUCUGCUGUAUUCGAUGGUUUAUUCUUAAAUAUUUCCCAAUGUUCAAUAGAUCAGACCUCUAACCUCUAAGCAAAGUGUCUAAUUAUUAUCUUACAUAUUAUUGACUUAAAAGAGUAUCUCAAACGCAAUAAUCAUAUUACUAUGACCUAACAAUUAAGGAGGCGCGCAACAGCACCCACACGUAAAAAUGAAAUAAAAUCUAGAAGUGCAUACGUGUCAAGAAUACAUAAGAGGAAGUUUUCAAUAUUCAGUCACCUUCUCCCAAACAAACUGAUGUGGCCAUUCCACCAAACAAAUAAUUCAUAAUUUUCCACAUGCCUUCUUUGGUGUUUCCAUUGUUCUUGUCUAUAUUUAUGGGGCACUGAGCACACGUGGUAUCGCAUAACACCGUACACGUACUCUCUGAUUCUUGAUAUUUUUCAUCUUCCUUUCCCUAUAUAAGCAAAACCCCUCCAAAACAUUUUGGUAUAUUCAUCAUCAACCCAAUUACAUAUACACCUUCCAACAUUUGUUCCCUUUGUCUUAUAUUUUAAGGAGAAAGCUCACAAUCUACGUUGUAUUAUUCAUAUUGACAAUGGCAAAGAAGAUGGUGAAGAUUGAAGUUGCUCCUUCACUUUUUGUUUUCCCACAAAAAAAUUCUCAUUCCCCAAAAUUGGAGACUAUUAAAGAAGAUGUUAGAGCUGAAUUAGGCCAAGAUGGAGAUGAUAAAUAAUUCAAUAAACAAAUAUCCUUCUCUUUUUUUUUUAACUUUCUUAAUGAUAAAAUGCUAUUCAUUUUCUUGGUUAAGAGGAGGAGGGUAUUUAGAUUAAAUUUCGCAAUCUCAGGCCGAAUUAAUAGAAUUCUCAUGGCCAUGGAUGAAUUGUAUUACUUACUAACUACUAGUUGUUAUUUGUAUAUUCUUCUGUUUCCAUUUAUGGAAUAGAGUGUAUUACAUUAUAUAAUUAAUCUCAAAAAAGAUUUCUUUUUUUUUA